UAGGGAAUCUUCCACAAUGGGCGAAAGCCUGAUGGAGCAGCGCCGCGUGUGUGAUGAAGGGUUUCGGCUCGUAAAACACUGUUGUAAGAGAAGAAUGACAUUGAGAGUAACUGUUCAAUGUGUGACGGUAUCUUACCAGAAAGGAACGGCUAAAUACGUGCCAA
rnacentral:rRNA from 1 species